ACUGUCCAAGCCUUCUGUGUGAGGAACUGGAGGAUUUGUCAAAAAACAGCAACCGAGGGAACAUGAGCAGGAGGAGGAGGAGGGAAACGGAGGAGGAAGUGUUUAGUCAGUGGGAGGAUGAAGAGGCAGCAGAGGAGACAUGGCGAGAAGAGAAGGACGGGGAGGGGGGGAAAGAAGAGAAAGUUGUGACAGAGGGAGAAGAGGAGGAGCAGGUGAAGCCUGAGAGUAGGCUGAAAGUGGUACAGGAGGUGCAGAUGGAAGACGACAAGAUUGAGAAGGCCAAGGAAACAAUUGCUGAUGAACAAGAGAGUAAAGUGACAAAGCGCUUAGCACAAAAAGAUGAGCAGAAGAAGAGUAAGAACAAGCGAGGUAGGAAGCAAAGUGAGCAGGUGAGAAGUAAGGGAGGAGUAAAGGAUGUUGGUGAGAGGUCUGAGGAGGAGAAGACAAGUGAGACACAGGAGGUGCCAGCGAUGAGCUCAGAGGAGACCUCGGCUCUGACAAACAGCUGUGACCUCUCUGACCCACUCUACUUGGGGUUUGUGGGGACAGGGCUGUGUUGUCCCCAGUUCCCAUCCCCUGCUGUACUCCUCACAGCCUCCUGUCUCCAUCCAGCCCACAUGUCCUCAGCCACAGAGUAACAAAAGACCUCAUAGCCCCCUUCUGCCUCACAGUGUCCCGCAGCAGGGCCCACAACCACUUGAGAUGGAGAUAACGCAGGUAUACCCCACCCAACAUAGCACCAGGGGCCGAGGUCGAGCCCUCAGCUUCCCACUGCUGCCAGGGAUAGAGUCUGUGGACAGCUGCCUGCUGCCACCUGCACCGAAGAAGAGAACACGGAUUGACUACAGCACAGAUCAGUUAGAGCAUUUAGAGGCCCUGUUCCAAGAGGAUCACUAUCCGGACGUGAAAAAAGAAAAGUGAUUGCUGCUUCAGUCGGCGUCACACCUCAGAGAAUUAUGGUCUGGUUUCAGAACCGAAGGGCGAAGUGGAGGAAAGUACGUGGUGUUACAGCAAAGGUGGAACACGGACAGAGUAGAGCUGAAUACAGUCCACAUCACCAAAUCAAUCCCACUUUGCCCACACUGGCUCACAACAGUAAGGGAGCCGCUUCUUUGUCUCGUUAUUAUGCUCUCAAGCUACCCCAGCUUGCCCCUGUGCCACCUUCAUUCCCCACCAUAACCACUCAGAGCCCACCCUCCCACAGCAGCCUGUUGGCCAGCCUCAGCACCCCAGGUGAAAGCAGAGUGAUGGAUACAGGCCAGCACCAGCUUUCAUCUCAGGAGGGUUUGGUGGAGUAUCCCCCCCGUCCCAUGCAGAGCCCUCCCCCUCUGCAGCUAGCCAGCCUUCCUCUUUUCACCACAACCUUUAACUCUGCAAACCCCACUCCCCCUCUCCUCAACACACCAGCCCACACCCCACCCCUCUUCCUGGAUGCUCUGGAGGGUGGCUCUACCUUGGCCCACCAUGAGACCCAGUCUCUGCCGACUGACACCAGUUUGCUCUUUGACUUGGACUACCUGACGUCUAGCCAGCAGAGCAACACUUUGUCUUACCAGCUCCAAACCUCCUACCACACCAGCCAGCCUCAGCUCCAACCUCAAGCAUCUCUGCCCCACAUGACCUACCUCACACCACCUCCCUACCUCACCCUUAACCCUCCAGAGUCUAAUCCUACCUCCUACCUGACUUUUGGCCCUGGAGGAAACUCGACAGGAGUGGUGACCGAUUCCACCACGGGUCAUGCCUACUUUCAGUCCCAGAGUGCAAGUCAAAUCCUACUGCAGUCGUCUGGUCACCACGCUGGGAUUACAGCGUACCAGUCUUACCCAUGGGGCAACAUGUGCAGUCAGCCAGCCAUGCACCAGCGUACUCAGUGCCCUCCUGCUUACCCUGGCAGCUUGGGACCUGGUCGAGAGCACCAGCCUACCUCUUCCACCAUCUUCCCUCUUCCUUCGUUCUUCCCUGGGGAGGACCAGGAGUCGUUGCAUGCAAAUUCCCAGGAUCCUUCACUCAACCAGACUUUCACAAGCAGCACCACCAGCACUGCCACCGUCCUGCCACCUGUGUCAACGCUCCUGCCCUCUUGCCUCAGGGUGGAGGAUACUCCAGCCAGGGAGUCAUUGCUAAUGCCCUCGCAGACAGAAGAAAUGGAUGUCACAGUUCCUACAGAUGACCAGGACAUCCAACUCCCUCGUCUGGACAGAAGUAAAAGUGUUUCUGCUUUUAUCAUUUCAAUUUUGGCUUAG
ensembl:lncRNA